AUUGAACGCUGGCGGCAGGCCUAACACAUGCAAGUCGAGCGGAGCGGCGGACGGGUGAGUAAUGCCUAGGAAUCUGCCUGGUAGUGGGGGACAACGUCCGGAAACGGGCGCUAAUACCGCAUACUAUCAGAUGAGCCUAGGUCGGAGUAGCUAGUUGGUGGGGUAAAGGCCUACCAAGGCGACGAUCCGUAACUGGUCUGAGAGGAUGAUCCGUCAAACUGGGACUGAGAAACGGGCCAGACUCCUACGGGAGGCAGCAGUGGGGAAUAUUUGGCAAUGGGCGAAAGCCUGAUCCAGCCAUGCCGCGUGUGUGAAGAAGGUCUUCGGAUUGUAAAGCACUUUAAGUUGAGAGGCGUUACCAACAGAAUAAGCAACGGCUAACUUCGUGCCAGCAGCCGCGGUAAUAC
rnacentral:rRNA from 1 species